AAAAGGGAAUAAUAGUCGAUUACAUCGUACGUCUGAGACGUCCAUAUAGUUCUUACAGUAAAUCAAAGUGCGGAAAAGAAACGUAGAUAAACGCGGCCUUCACAGGCAGCCGACUGGGGGUUGCCGCUAACCCACACCUAGAACUCGUCAUAGUCUUGGAACUCCUGGAAGUCUCCUUCCACAGCUUCAUCUUCGCCUGAGCAGUGGUUGCAAUGCUGACAACCUGGGGGGGUUUGGUGUGUAGAGCAAGGGUGAGUACACAUCAACAUACUCAGCAAGUAUCCUGUUUGGCUGUAGUGGACUAGCUGUAUGUGGGGAUGAGUCAAGCAGUUGCUUUUAGUUGGUCAGAUUAUUACUUACUAGUAGAAAGCCAAGUUUUAGCAUUACCCAAGUUAUUAACCCGAUGUACCCUUUCCAAACGGAAAGAAUACCACUUACCAGCACCAUAGUCAUAACCAGAACCAUCGAUCUCAUAACCACCUGUACCACAAUGUCUCUGAUCAAGUACCACUAAUCACUGGAGCUCCCUUGGCCGCUCAUAACCGCGAGCACGGCUGAUAUAUCAGUUUUCAAACACUCUGCAGAGGUUGUGCACUUUACCCACAAGCCGUGAUUCCCAUUCUGCCCGGAGAUCAUGACUCUCCAUUGAUCACUACCAAGGUGACCCAGCAGGGCAUCACUACGUAGCCUUUACAAAGAUUCCCCGGGGCUGUAGCCACCCGUUAGGUUUCCUAAAUGUACCGCACUCCUCCCCAAGGGACAAAUCAACCUUGGCAGAGCGAGCCGCAUACACCGAGUCCCAUUGACGGCACGACGGCUAAGUGAACUACACCCCGGAUCCUCUAAUUAUUCAGCUAAGGGCACCCCAUUCCACCCUCAUGGUUGCACUGUUUUCCCGGGCGGUCAUCCAUAGAACAGGUCCUUACGGAGAGGCACUCGAGAAACCGCUCGAGCCCCCUUGAAGGUCACAAGUACAACAUCAUAAUAAGAGAAGGGAAAACAGCGUAUCAUAGAUAAUCUCAUCAUGUUCAUUGAUUAGAGUUUGAGCAAUAGCAUAAAGCUAAACAGUAAUAAUCCAACCCAAAUAGGUAAGCAAGGAUAGGGAUAACAAAAGCUAGUCAAACCUUAGGUAUAAAUAUGUAAAGCGGGGGGUGAAUUAAAGAAUGAAUAGGACAGAGAUAGGUCAAAGGACACUUGCCUCCACCAACCGACUGCUGCUCAGGGGCUUCUCCUGCGAGUUCCUUGGGCUCUUCAACCGGAUCGUUCUCUAUGCGAUUGCAAACAUACAUACAUCCACACAUUUAAUACAAAAGAACAGUACACCAUACAAUAGAAUGCAAUAAGUAAACAGACGUUCUACGCGGGCUCGCGAGUACGGUUAAGAGAGAAAGAGGAAAAGACAGUCGAGAAACGAUCACGUUACAUGAUUAUAAAUUAACCACUCGCUUAAUGGAAGGAAAUUUAAUGUAGACACUAUGUUUAGCGUAAAGUAAAGUCAUGUUUCAUGUCCAAUUAUUAUAAGCAGGUGGAGGUAAACAAAAGGAUGGUCGCGCGGCGAGACGCGCGACAAAGCUCUCUAAAACAAAUUAAAAGUUAACGACUCGUCGCGCGACCGAGCACGCAACGAGACACUUCGCCUUAGAUACGAGGAGACGUUAAACGUCGCGCGACGAAGCGCACGACGGCAUACGUCGACUAAACUGAGUCCAAAGUGGAACGUCGCGUGAAUACACACACGGCGUUACACCUUAAACAACCUGAAACAAAAAAUGGGUCGUCGCGCGACGAAGCGCACGACGCAACACAAGAUAGAAUCUGAAUUUAGACAAACCGUCGCACGGCGAAGCGCGCGACGCAACACGCUAAUUAACGAAUAAUCACCGCGAGCGCGGGCGAGCGAAGAUACGGUCGGGCGAGGCCGGGACGGGAACGGGCGGCCGAACGGGGGGAAGGGCGGUUGAACCGGCCAGGGGGGCGGCCGAGGCCGGGCGGGCACGGGGCAGGGUGCGGGGGCGGCCGAGCCGGGGAGGGGUCGAGCGGGGGGGAAAGGCCGGGGACGGGGAGCCGAGCGCCGCCGCGGGAGGGAGGCCGGGCGGACAAGCCGGGGGCGGGCGCCGAGCGCCGCCGCGGGAGGGGCCGAGCGGACGAGCCGGGGGCGGGCGCCGAGCGCCGCCGCGGGGAGGGCGAGCGGACGAGCCGGGGGCGGGCGCCGAGCGCCACCGCGGGAGGGGCCGAGCGGGCGGGCAGGGGCGCCGCCGCGGGGAGGGGCCGAGCGGGCGGGCAGGGGCGCCGCCGCGCCGGGCAGGGACGGGGUCGGGCGCGGGCAGGGGGAAGAGGGAGGGUGCGCGCGCGGGGAAGAAGAGGAGGGAGAGGGAGAGAGAGAAGAGGAGGGGAGGGGAGCUCACCUCGGGGUCCAAAAUCCGGUGAUCGCCGUCUCCAAACCCUAGGGCACCACGGGGAGAGAGAGGUGGGAGAGGGAGAGGGAAGUUGUUGUGCGGGAGAUCCAAAUGAGGGAGAGAGAGAGGAUGGGGGGCGCAGGGGGGGGGGGUUGGGCGCCAGGGGCGCGCAGGCCGGGCCGGGCCGGGCCGGCUGAGCUGGGCUGGGCUAAGUUGGGCUGGGCCGAGCCACUUCGCGGAUCGAAAACCCACGACGAGCGCGGACCACUAAACGAACUUAAAACGCGAAUCAAAAUCCGGAACGGAACGAGACGAACACUCAACAUCAGACAAAGAAAUGUGCUUCGGCAUGAUGCAACACCCAUGACACUUAGGUUUUGGUUUAUACAUGACGCGGACACCUGCCGCUAUACUGAUUUGAAAUUGGGAAGAAGGAGCAAAAGGGGAAAGAGAAAAGAGAGUAACGCCCGAAUUUGGUGAGAGAAAAGAAGAAAAAAUUCUACCCCAAAUUCAGGGCGUUACACCGGGCCCAGUGGCUAGUGGCUUGGGUGGGCACCAAGGUGCGUGGCGGGACGCAUGCGGGUGUGGGCGCGUCCUGACGAGCGGGGUCCGCCUGUCAGCGACCCGAGAAGAGGGGAGAGGGGUUUGACACAGGGAGGCUAAAAGUGGGCCCCUUGUGUCAGGGUUGCCGUCUACCUCUCGCCCGUGCAUGGCGUGUGAGCCGUGUGUGGGGUCGAUGGUGCACGUGGAAGGGGGGACGUUGGGUGGCGGUGGUGGCUGGUUGGAGGACCACGGUACGACGGCACAACGCCGCCGUUGUCCCUCACCGACGAGAACGCAACGAAGAAGAGGGAACGGAGGGAGAGAGAAAAAAAGAAGGAAUGACCUGCUAUUUUACCUCGAGUGGAGCUCGGCCGGGGCGGGGCUUCGGACGGCUGUGGUGGAUCUCAGGCAAGAACAGCGGGGCGGGCUCGCCGUGGGGGCUCCAUGCGUGAGCGGCUUGUCAGGCAUGGCACCGGCGAGCUCAGAGCGGCGUCAACUCUACGCGAGGGCGGUUGGCUACAUGGGCGAGAGAAGUGAGGUGGGGGAAGGUGGCGGGCGUGCACAAGUGCUCAAAAGGGGUCGGGGUGGCGGCAGUUUCGCGAGGAGGGCGUGGCGUGGCCCGCCUUCCUUAGCGUGCGUGCGCAUGGGGGGUAGGGGAAGUGGUUACGUGGGGUCGAGGACGAGUUUAAAUCAGCCGCAAUCCACUGACGAGUGGGGUCCACGGGGUGGCUUUGCGGGCGACGGUUGCGGGGGUGGGGAGGUGGGUGGGGGCUUCCGGUGCGUUGGGCCCGCUGGUCAGUGACCACGGGCCGCGAACACGCAGGUGCGCUACGGGCGAAGCCGCUGACGGGUGGGGCCCGCUGGUUGAGGAAAGGAGAGGGGGCACAGGCGGUUUGGGCCGGGAAUGGGCCGAAAGGCCAGUUAGGCGGGGGUUAAGGGCCUCUUUCCCUUUUCUUUUUCCUUUCUCUCUUGGAUUCAUACUCAAAUAUGCCACAAAUUCAAAGGAGGUCAUCACAAGCAUAUGCAUCACACAAGGGUAAAAUUUGGGGUUCAACAUGAUGCAACACUUCAUAAAUACUUUAAGGUUUUAUCUCGUGGAUAAAAUAAGUACAACUCCAACUAAAACAAGAACCCUCCCUCUAAAGGAAAGAAGAAAUGGGGGUUAAGGGAUAAAAGAGGAGGAGUAACACUUGAAUUUAUGGAUAAAAGCAAAGAAAUUUUAUACCACCAAACUAAGGGUGUUACAACAUCAUCCACUUCACUCGAUGAAAGACAGAUUAUACGACGAUGCCCAACCCUCAUUUGAUUUGCCCGACCUCAAACUCUUGUAAAAAGGCCCCACUUCGACCUUAGCUUAUAAAAGGAUGGGAGAGGUCCACGCUCAGGACACAACCAAUCGAACAACCAAACGCCAUAACACUUGUACGCAUUAACACACCCGAGACAUGGGAACUCCUUCCUCCCUUGCCUAUUAUAACCCCUACUACAAACUCGUGUAGAGUAACAUAGAUGGUACAACUAGACAUAGGGACAUUCUACAUGAACCCGUAUAAAUCUUUGUAUCAUCUUUGCACACCAUCCCUCCCUUGACGCGUAAAGCAUGAUAAUUACUAGCCAGUGGUACGAAAUAUCAACAAUAAGCUUUAUAUUUAUUUGGAUAAAAUAUUUUAGACAUUUUAUAUGACCCAUAAUGCGUAACAGUUUUUCUACAUCUGAAAUAACAAGUUUUUAGAGUUUUUUUAAUUUGUGCCAUUAGUUAAGCAUCAAUGCUUAGUUUUACCCCUAUCUAGUAGUAAGAACGUCUCAUUCAAUACUACUAGAGAGAAGUAAACCUUAGGUGUGCUAGUGAACUAAGAGCACAAAUUUAGGACAUGUUUGGGAUAACUUUUUUGUGAAGAGCUUUUCUGAGAAUUUGGAUUCCUAAAUAAUCUCACUCUCACAAAAAUUUAGAUAUCGCGAGGCUUGCACGUGGAGGAAGAUAAAGGGGUCUGCGCGGUUUAGAGUUUAGAAAGCUCAGAUUCUUUCCAUCACGAUGACUCAAUAGAUUAUGCAUGUACGUUGAUUUAAGUAAUUUUCACAGAAGAGAUUCUCGCAGAAGCGUGCUGAGAAACGAAAUGUUUGGUUGCUAGAAGCCGAUUCUGAUGGCCAGAAUCCGACUAUAAGCCAAAACAAACAUGGUCUUAAAAUUCUCAUUUAUAGGAAUUGUUCGAUUUAGGAUGGAUCGGAGGGAAUUAAAGGGGAUUAAAUCUUUGCUAAUCAAAAUUAAAUAGAAAAAAUUAAUAUCUCAAUAAUCAAUCCUCUCCGACCCACGGCAAACGAUAGUGUACAACUUAACCCUCAUGUCGUGUCUUUGUGUUAAUCUGCCCUGAUGCGGCUAGAGAUGACAAUGGGUAUUAGAAACCUGACAGCUUUUACCUGAUAUAAAGGCGGGUAUGAGAUUAUUUCUCUACCCAUAGGUAAAAUAUAUCUGCAUCAAUGCCACUAUAACAAUCUAAUAAAGUCCAUCUUAACUAAAAUAAAACUCUUCUCUAGCUAUCAUUUAUCUAGUAUGUAAUCUUAUGAUAUGUUAUAGGUGAAGUUUAACUUGUUUUUUAUGUUUAUUUAAUAUUUUGAGUGAUUAAUAUAUUGAAAUUUAAGACUUUUCUAGUGAGUAUAGGUUACGCGACGGAUAAAAUUACCCGCGUGAAUAAGGAUAUGAAUACAAUUUUAUACCCACGACCCUAUACAGCUAACCUAGAAUUUUUUUGAUACGUACCCGUUGGCAUGAUGUGGCAAGAGGCCCCGAGCACAUCUUUAUCACUUAUCAGCGUCAAUGGGCCACUCGGAUCUCUU
rnacentral:lncRNA from 1 species